rnacentral:rRNA from 1 species
CAGCAGCCACGGGAAUACAGAGGGUGCGAGCGUUAAUCGGAUUUACUGGGCGUAAAGCGUGCGUAGGCGGCUUUUUAAGUCGGAUGUGAAAUCCCUGAGCUUAACUUAGGAAUUGCAUUCGAUACUGGGAAGCUAGAGUAUGGGAGAGGAUGGUAGAAUUCCAGGUGUAGCGGUGAAAUGCGUAGAGAUCUGGAGGAAUACCGAUGGCGAAGGCAGCCAUCUGGCCUAAUACUGACGCUGAGGUACGAAAGCAUGGGGAGCAAACAGGAUUAGAUACCCGUGUAGUCCCUGUCUCUUAUAA